UCCCAGUUGCCCCCGCUACAGCUACCCCUGAGGCUAUUCUUCACCGUGGUACAAUAGUGCCCGAGGAGGUCGUUAUGGUGGACCAGAGCCAACCCCCACUGGGGGGGGAAAGGCUUCCCCAACGGCACUCACUUCCCCAGGGGUAUACUUAGAUCAACCAUGGGGCGGAUGGUGCACCACCUAUGUACGUUACUUUUAACCCUUCCCAAGCCGCUACCCUUGUAACUUCACUCCCUGAUCCUGAGAAGCACCCCAUGCCCUUUUUCCGCAGG